AUUGAACGCUGGCGGCAGGCUUAACACAUGCAAGUCGAACGAGAGGCGGACGGGGGAGUAAUGUAUGGGAAACUGCCUGAUGGAGGGGGAUAACUCAUGGAAAAUGUCGCUAAUACCGCGUACACUAGGCUGAGCACCCGUGGGAGUAGGUAGUGGGUGGGGUAAGUGCCUACCAAGCCGCCGAUCUCUAGCUGGUCUUAGAGGAUGACCAGCCACACCGGGACUGAGACACGGCCCGGACUCCUACGGGAGGCAGCAGUGGGGAAUAUUGCGCAAGGGGGGCAAUCCUGACGCAGCCAUGCCGCGUGAAUGAAGAAGGCCUUCGGGUUGUAAAGUUCUUUCGGUGACGAGGCGUUAAUCACAGAAGAAGCACCGGCUAACUCCGUGCCAGCAGCCGCGGUAAUAC
rnacentral:rRNA from 1 species